rnacentral:ncRNA from 1 species
GGAAAGGCAUAGAACGAAAAGAGUACCGGACAGAUUUAUCCAGAGAGAAGGGGCCGCCGGCUGAAAGCCCUUUUAUAGAGAAAUCCGGGAAAGUGCAUUCGGGAGCCGGUCCGGUGACUGUUCAUCAGAACACAGUCGGGCACGCAGGCCAGCGUUAUGGGCAGAUAAGCGGAAGACAGAUGUCUUCAAGUAGAGUGGAACCGCGGAAAUAUUCGUCUCUAUA